AACAUGCAUGUGCCACAGAAACUGUCACAUCAACGUUAGCUUGAAUCAUUUAACGGUUUCCUCUCACAAAACAGACAGCACGUAAGCAUUUCUG